GACCGCGUAGCUCAGUUGGAAGAGCCUUGGGCUAGUGUUCCAAAGGUUGUAGGUUCGAAUCCCACCGUGGCCG
rnacentral:tRNA from 1 species